GACGAACGCUGGCGGCGUGCCUAAUACAUGCAAGUCGAACGAGUGGCGGACGGGUGAGUAAUGUCUGGGAAACUGCCCGAUGGAGGGGGAUAACUAAUGGAAACGGUAGCUAAUACCGCAUACCAUCGGAUGUGCCCCGAUGGGAUUAGCUAGUAGGUGGGGUAACGGGUCACCUAGGCGACGAUCACUAGCUGGUCUGAGAGGAUGACCAGCAAAACUGGAACUGAGACACGGUCCAGACUCCUACGGGAGGCAGCAGUGGGGAAUAUUGCACAAUGGGAGCAAGCCUGAUGCAGCCAUGCCGCGUGUAUGAAGAAGGCCUUCGGGUUGUAAAGUACUUUCAGCGAGGAGGCGUUACUCGCAGAAGAAGCACAGGCUAACUCCGUGCCAGCCGCCGCGGUAAUAC
rnacentral:rRNA from 1 species